AGCACCCGGGUGGGGAGGGGCUCCGGCCGGGGCUCGGGGUCGGGCUUGUUUGCUCGGCGAAACCGGCGGGAAGCAGCCAGGCGAAUGCCCCGCGCCGCUGAGGUCCCGGGGGCCCAAGAGCGGAGACGCGGCCGACCAAGUCGGGCCGGUCCAGGGCCCGGGCCCCUCCCCCACCCCGGCCGCCCCCGCCUGCAAGCGCUGAACUUGUUCCCAAGUCCCGCCGGACGCCGUCACCACCCGCAGCCGGAGCGACCUCACUUGGGGGCCUGAGAAGCACUGGACUCCAAUCCCGGCUCCGUUCCAGCUCCGGACCCCUCCGUCCCCCUCCCCACCCUCUCCCGGUGGUCCUGGGGCAAGCCGCGCGCUGCGGUGCAGGAAAGUGACGACCUCCCUACCCAACUCAGGCGGGGGCGGACGUGGGUGGGCUCGCGCUUCGAAACAGCCCCCUCCGUCUCCCUGCCUCGGGAGGCGGGGGUGCGGGAACGGGUGACAGCUGCGCGGAUAUCGCCCUCCCCCUCCGCGGGCGCGUCUGAGUGCCCACGCGGGUCUGAGUACCAACCCGGACGCGGGGGAGGAUGGACUAAGGGAUCCGAUCAGAGUCGCUGGGACUCCUAGCUCCGAACCACGGAAGGCCAGGCACCGGGACCCGGGUUCGAGGCUGCGCUAACCCCCUCCGCGCCCGGGGGCGACGCAAAGUUUUGGGAAGUUGCUACCCCUACCUUGCUUGAUAAACAACCCGCGACUGCAGCGCCCACCCCCGCCCGCUUCCCGGCUCUCGACCCGGCUUCUCCAAGGCCUGCCGGUGCUUCCCGCUCUGGGGCAGCGCCCUACGUCCCUGGACCCUCCACCUGUGAGCAGCCGGGCCUGCGGACCAUCCUGAGGUGCCGGCCAUGAUCUUUGAUUUCACAAUCCACUAUACUUGUAUGCUGUGGACAUGCUGUGAAUAUAGGACCCUGGAUGUCCUAGAGAGAGACAGUGGAGAUGGUCUUCAAGAACCUCUUGCUUUGGUCUGGUUAAGACCAGGGCAAGCCAGGCCAAAGGGUAAAGGUUGAAACUGAUUGUGUUUUAAAACUUCAACUUCCAUAUGAGACCAAGGGAAUAGAUAUCUAUUUGGUACAGGAUCUAAAUUUUCUA